UGCGUUUCAAGCCACUGUAAUCUUUUUGGUGCUCAUAUUGUCCCAUCUUAGGCCAGGAGAAGCCCCUCUACUGGAUAUUCUUGCCAGAAAAGUCAAAUCUGAAUCUAUUUUUAGCUUUUAGAGCUACCUUCCAGUUUAUAGGGGCUGAAAGAAUAAGUACCACCAUCAUCCCUUACUGAGGAAUCAGAGACAAAUAGGCUGAUCCCCUAAACAGUCCAGCUCCCCUUCCUCACUUCCUCCUGCCCCUGAAGCGACUGGGCGGCUGUCCAACAGGGAGAUACACUUGAGGGGCAACCAAGGUGAAUAUAGGAGCACAUCUACCAACCUCCUCGAACUAGCUCUGAAAACAAAGCAUGGACAGAAACCUGCUCGAAUGGGCUUUGCAAAUGCUAAUAUGCACAGGAAUCUCAUUUCUGGGGAUCUUAUUAAAGUGCAGCCUCUGAUUCAGCA